AUUGAACGCUGGCGGCAGGCCUAACACAUGCAAGUCGAGCGGAUGAAGGGAGCUUGCUCCUGGAUUCAGCGGCGGACGGGUGAGUAAUGCAUAGGAAUCUGCCUGGUAGUGGGGGAUAACGUCCGGAAACGGGCGCUAAUACCGCAUACGUCCUGAGGUAGAAAGUGGGGGAUCUUCGGACCUCACGCUAUCAGCUGAGCCUAGGUCGGAUUAGCUAGUUGGUGGGGUAAAGGCCUACCAAGGCGACGAUCCGUAACUGGUCUGAGAGGAUGAUCAGUCACACUGGAACUGAGACACGGUCCAGACUCCUACGGGAGGCAGCAGUGGGGAAUAUUGGACAAUGGGCGAAAGCCUGAUCCAGCCAUGCCGCGUGUGUGAAGAAGGUCUUCGGAUUGUAAAGCACUUUAAGUUGGGAGGAAGGGCAGUAAGUUAAUACCUUGCUGUUUUGACGUUACCAACAGAAUAAGCACCGGCUAACUUCGUG
rnacentral:rRNA from 1 species